rnacentral:rRNA from 1 species
GACGAACGCUGGCGGCGUGCUUAACACAUGCAAGUCGAACGGAAAGGCCCUGCUUUUGUGGGUUGCUCGAGUGGCGAACGGGUGAGUAACACGUGAGUAACCUGCCCUUGACUGUGGGAUAACUUCAGGAAACUGGGGCUAAUAUCGGGUAGGAGCUCCUGCUGCAUGGUGGGGGUUGGAAAGAUUCGGCGGUGGGGGAUGGACUCGCGGCUUAUCAGCUUGUUGGUGGGGUAGUGGCUUACCAAGGGUUUGACGGGUAGCCGGCCUGAGAGGGUGACCGGCCACAUUGGGACUGCGAUACGGACCAGACUCCUACGGGAGGCAGCAGUGGGGAAUAUUGCGCAAUGGGCGGAAGCCUGAUGCAGCAACGCCGCGUGCGGGAUGACGGCCUUCGGGUUGUAAACCGCUUUCGCCUGUGACGAAGCGUGAGUGACGGUAAUGGGUAAAGAAGCACCGGCUAACUACGUG